GUAAUAAUUAAUUGUUAUCAGAACAGGUAAUGCUAAAUGCAAGUUGGUUCUUGAAGUCCAGCGGCGGGUAGACCCCGCCGAAGGAGAAUUGUUAGGUACUCGUAGAGAAGGGUUAGGUCAGCCCCGCGCCGGUUGCCCGGAACGGAGGCCUCGCUAGAAUGACCGUCGCUCACGCCGAAGCGCUCACGGCAGCCAAAGGUAAUGAUCCUUCCGCAGGUUCACCUACGGAAA
rnacentral:misc_RNA from 1 species